rnacentral:rRNA from 1 species
AUUGAACGCUGGCGGCAGGCCUAACACAUGCACGUCGAACGAGUGGCGGACGGGUGAGUAAUGUCUGGGAAACUGCCUGAUGGAGGGGGAUAACUACUGGAAACGGUAGCUAAUACCGCGUACCAUAAGAUGUGCCCAGAUGGGAUUAGCUAGUUGGUGGGGUACCGGCUUACCAAGGCGACGAUCCCUAGCUGGUCUGAGAGGAUGACCAGCCACACUGGAACUGAGACACGGUCCAGACUCGUACGGGAGGUAGCAGUGGGGAAUAUUGCACAAUGGGCGCAAGCCUGACGCAGCCAUGCCGCGUGUAUGAAGAAGGCCUUCGGGUUGUAAAGUACUUUCAGCGGGGAGGCGUUACCCGCAGAAGAAGCACCGGCUAACUCCGUGCCAGCAGCCGCGGUAAUUC